CCACUUGAGGUCCUGGGAGAGGAUAGUGCCCAGGAAGCGGAAGGACUCCACAGGGUUUACUGGGGCUGUAUUCUUAGUAGUCCACAAACAUCUCCACUGUCUUAAGAGCAUUAGCUCUUGGUUGUUCUGGCUACACAAGGUCACCAGGUUAUUUUAACUACUGAUAGUGGUAGGUUAUCUUGCUAACACAUAUCCAAAAAUGCACAGUGUCCAAAACACUAAGAACAUUAUUCUAGUUUUCUAAUACUUUACCAUUGUGUUGGCCGGUAGGAUUUGUAACGCAAAUAGGCCUAAUGUCAGUUUUCUGGUCAUUUCCACAAAAUUAUGCAUAAAGUAACUCUGCGAUUGGGGCCACUAUAAAAUGCAUUCUGAGUAAAACCUUUCACUUUGGCACCAACCUUUUAGUCCAGCAUAUGAUCUGGACAAGUCAUGGGAUAAAGCCCCAGUUUAUAAAAAAGUAACUUAUUUGUUGCACAAAUUUACCCUGUAACCAACACAGAAAUGUAUGAUAUGACUUGUGCUUGGUUUGGAAAGAUGUACAUUUUUUCGAACAUAUAGGGGUACAAAUGCAAUAAGAAAGAUGUCAGUGUGUGACCCAUGGUGUGACCAAAUUUAUGUUGGGGGAUGGGAUGACUACUGCCUCAGGGCUGUCAAGGAAUUUCCUAGGAGAUUAGAAACAGUAAGUCUAUUGUUAUUAAUGCUAGUAAACAGAAAACUCUGUGAAAUCAACAAUGAACUGUCCAAUAUAAUAAUUGGACAGUAAAUUGGACAGUAAAAAUAUUUAUCUCGGAGACAACAUUGAAUGUUGAUUUUUGAAUGAGGAAGGUUCACACAUGCGCAGUGGUUGUAGCAGUAGCACUUUGCUUCUCCCAACUGUCACUGCCGCACAUGGCGCGAAAACCGGAGAAGAAUGGAGGUUUCAGCUGCUCCAGAAGUUAUAGGAUUCAGGAAUUAUACUGACUGAAGAAGAGACAAAGAGAUUCAGAGAUUUACAUUUUCUCACACUCUACAUUGUCACCUGGAGUCAGCUCUGUAACCGUGGCCCCAAGUUUUUGUGAUUUACAUUUUCUCACACUACAUUGUCACCUGGAGUCAGCUCUGUAACCGUGGGCCCAAGUUUUUGUGAUUUACAUUUUCUCACACUACAUUGUCACCUGGAGUCAGCUCUGUAACCGUGGGCCCAAGUUUUUGUGGAAAUGGCUGAGACCGAUUUCCUCAGUGCCAUGGAGAGAACGACAGUGGGGAUCUAUGUUGUGAAAGACACUGCCAGCAGUGAACCCUCUGAUGUCAGGAUAGUCCUCGAAGGUGUGAUGGUGCUUCAAGAUCUUGAGAAUGUAGCACUUGCUUCUGCAAUGUUGUUUGGGCUCUUAUGCCUUGAACAUGCAGCACCCUACAAAGCUCCGCUACACCUUUGAGGCAUUUCAAAAGAUCAUCAUGGAGCCUCAGCAUCAGACACUUAAUAAUAUGAGCCUGUCAGCUGCAAAAACAGAACUUUUAGUGACACUAACUGACCAUGCACAGUUGCCCUAUAUAACGUUGCAGCCCGGUUCACAGCAAUCUUGCUCAAUGCUGGACCAAUUUUCAUGAAUUAACCACUAGAUAGCCUAAAUUUAUAUUGAUUGGCUGUAAAUGUAGCUGUUUUUUAAGUAUGCUUGUUUUUCCACUGUCCAAUUAACAUUUUUAUAUCUAUAAUUUCUUUAAAUUGACUGAUUAAUACUGUAAAUGUGCUGACAUUCCUUUUUGAUUAAAAGUACAUAUUCAGUA